rnacentral:rRNA from 1 species
AGUGAACGCUGGCGGUAGGCCUAACACAUGCAAGUCGAACGGCAGCACAGUAAGAGCUUGCUCUUACGGGGGGCGGGUGGCGGACGGGUGAGGAAUACAUCGGAAUCUACUUUUUCGUGGGGGUUAACGUAGGGAAACUUACGCUAAUACCGCAUACGACCUACGGGUGAAAGCAUGGGAUCUUCGGAGCUUGCGCGAUUGAAUGCGCGGAUGUCGGAUUAGAUAGUUGGCGGGGUAAAGGCCCACCAAGGCGAGGAUCCGUAGCUGGACUGAGAGGAGGAUCAGCCACACGGGAAGGGAGACAGGGUCCUGAGGCCUACGGGACGCACCAGUCGGGAACAUUGGACAACGGGCGGAAGCCUGAUCCAGCGAUCCCGCGUGUGUGAAGGAGGCCUUCGGUGCGUAAAGCCCUUUUGUGGGGAAAGAACAGCAGUAGCUUGAUACGCCGCGGGUCUGACGGUACUCAAAGAAUAAGCACCGGCUAACUUCGUG